rnacentral:rRNA from 1 species
CCUACGGGAGGCAGCAGUAGGGAAUUUUCGGCAAUGGGGGGAACCCUGACCGAGCAACGCCGCGUGAACGAAGAAGUUAUUCGUAAUGUAAAGUUCUUUUAACAGGGACGAAAGAGAAAUUUGACGGUACCUGAAGAAUAAGCUCCGGCUAACUACGUGCCAGCAGCCGCGGUAAUACGUAGGGAGCGAUCGUUGUCCGGAAUUAUUGGGCGAAAAGGGUGCGUAGAUGGCAUAGUAAGUCUUUUGUAAAAAUGCUGGGAUCAAACAAGUAGGGCAAAAGAUACUGCAAAGCUAGAGUAUGACAGAGGCAAGUGGAAUUACAUGUGUAGCGGUAAAAUGCGUAAAUAUAUGUAAGAACACCAGUGGCGAAGGCGGCUUGCUGGGUCGAUACUGACAUUGAGGCACGAAAGCGUGGGGAGCAAACAGGAUUAGAUACCCCAGUAGUC